ACACAUGCAAGUCGAGGGGCAGCAUGGUCUUAGCUUGCUAAGGCCGAUGGCGACCGGCGCACGGGUGAGUAACGCGUAUCCAACCUGCCUUACACUCUUGGACAGCCUUCUGAAAGGGAGAUUAAUACAAGAUGUUAUCAUGAGUAAGCAUUUUCGCAUGAUUAAAGGUUUACCGGUGUAAGAUGGGGAUGCGUUCCAUUAGAUAGUAGGCGGGGUAACGGCCCACCUAGUCUUCGAUGGAUAGGGGUUCUGAGAGGAAGGUCCCCCACAUUGGAACUGAGACACGGUCCAAACUCCUACGGGAGGCAGCAGUGAGGAAUAUUGGUCAAUGGACGAGAGUCUGAACCAGCCAAGUAGCGUGAAGGAUGAAGGUUCUAUGGAUUGUAAACUUCUUUUAUACGGGAAUAAACGAAUCCACGCGUGGGUUUUUGCAUGUACCGUAUGAAUAAGGAUCGGCUAACUCCGUGCCAGCAGCCGCGGUAAUACGGAGGAUCCGAGCGUUAUCCGGAUUUAUUGGGUUUAAAGGGAGCGUAGAUGGGUUGUUAAGUCAGUUGUGAAAGUUUGCGGCUCAACCGUAAAAUUGCAAUUGAUACUGGCAGUCUUGAGUACAGUUGAGGUAGGCGGAAUUCGUGGUGUAGCGGUGAAAUGCUUAGAUAUCACGAAGAACUCCGAUUGCGAAGGCAGCUUACUAACCUGUAACUGACAUUGAUGCUCGAAAGUGUGGGUAUCAAACAGGAUUAGAUACCCUGGUAGUCCACACGGUAAACGAUGAAUACUCGCUGUAGGCGAUAUACGGUCUGCGGCCAAGCGAAAGCAUUAAGUAUUCCACCUGGGGAGUACGCCGGCAACGGUGAAACUCAAAGGAAUUGACGGGGG
rnacentral:rRNA from 1 species